AGAUUAAACUGAAGAGUUUGAUCCUGGCUCAGAUUGAACGCUAGCGGGAUGCUUUACACAUGCAAGUCGAACGGCAGCACGAGAGAGCUUGCUCUCUUGGUGGCGAGUGGCGGACGGGUGAGUAAUAUAUCGGAACGUGCCCAGUAGCGGGGGAUAACUACUCGAAAGAGUGGCUAAUACCGCAUACGCCCUACGGGGGAAAGGGGGGGAUCGCAAGACCUCUCACUAUUGGAGCGGCCGAUAUCGGAUUAGCUAGUUGGUGGGGUAAAGGCUCACCAAGGCAACGAUCCGUAGCUGGUUUGAGAGGACGACCAGCCACACUGGGACUGAGACACGGCCCAGACUCCUACGGGAGGCAGCAGUGGGGAAUUUUGGACAAUGGGGGAAACCCUGAUCCAGCCAUCCCGCGUGUAUGAUGAAGGCCUUCGGGUUGUAAAGUACUUUUGGCAGAGAAGAAAAGGCAUCCCCUAAUACGGGAUGCUGCUGACGGUAUCUGCAGAAUAAGCACCGGCUAACUACGUGCCAGCAGCCGCGGUAAUACGUAGGGUGCAAGCGUUAAUCGGAAUUACUGGGCGUAAAGCGUGUGUAGGCGGUUCGGAAAGAAAGAUGUGAAAUCCCAGGGCUCAACCUUGGAACUGCAUUUUUAACUGCCGAGCUAGAGUAUGUCAGAGGGGGGUAGAAUUCCACGUGUAGCAGUGAAAUGCGUAGAUAUGUGGAGGAAUACCGAUGGCGAAGGCAGCCCCCUGGGAUAAUACUGACGCUCAGACACGAAAGCGUGGGGAGCAAACAGGAUUAGAUACCCUGGUAGUCCACGCCCUAAACGAUGUCAACUAGCUGUUGGGGCCGUUAGGCCUUAGUAGCGCAGCUAACGCGUGAAGUUGACCGCCUGGGGAGUACGGUCGCAAGAUUAAAACUCAAAGGAAUUGACGGGGACCCGCACAAGCGGUGGAUGAUGUGGAUUAAUUCGAUGCAACGCGAAAAACCUUACCUACCCUUGACAUGUCUGGAAAGCCGAAGAGAUUUGGCCGUGCUCGCAAGAGAACCGGAACACAGGUGCUGCAUGGCUGUCGUCAGCUCGUGUCGUGAGAUGUUGGGUUAAGUCCCGCAACGAGCGCAACCCUUGUCAUUAGUUGCUACGCAAGAGCACUCUAAUGAGACUGCCGGUGACAAACCGGAGGAAGGUGGGGAUGACGUCAAGUCCUCAUGGCCCUUAUGGGUAGGGCUUCACACGUCAUACAAUGGUCGGGACAGAGGGUCGCCAACCCGCGAGGGGGAGCCAAUCUCAGAAACCCGAUCGUAGUCCGGAUCGCAGUCUGCAACUCGACUGCGUGAAGUCGGAAUCGCUAGUAAUCGCGGAUCAGAAUGUCGCGGUGAAUACGUUCCCGGGUCUUGUACACACCGCCCGUCACACCAUGGGAGUGGGUUUCACCAGAAGUAGGUAGCCUAACCGCAAGGAGGGCGCUUACCACGGUGGGAUUCAUGACUGGGGUGAAGUCGUAACAAGGUAGCCGUAUCGGAAGGUGCGGCUGGAUCACCUCCUUU
rnacentral:rRNA from 1 species